UGGAAUCGUGCCCACCCCCCCAUUAUAUGUGAGGGAGAAUAAGCACAUUACUAAGCUGUAAACAACUUGCCAGGGAAGGUACCUUGGAAUCUCUGCAGCUAGCCAUUUAAUAUUGUGCUGGUAAAAGGUGGUCAUAAAGACGUGCUGGGGGCCAUCUGCCCUGUACGAAGAGCCUGCCCGAGCUGAUUUGCAAAACACUUCACAGAUAUUAUUUGAUUCGGUCCUUGUAACCACCCAGGGAGAUAGUAAUUGAGGAAACCAAGGCCCAGAGACAGGACCUGACUUUCGAAGAGUCACAUAAUUAGAAGCACUUGAGGCAGAGAGAAGUUUGAACCUUACUCCAGAGGCAAGAGAGAACCACCGAAGCCUCAGAGAAGUGAGGCUCUUUUGAAGUCAAUCCAAAGGUUCAUCGAUGAUAAGGAAUCACUCACUCCAGCAUUCCUAGAGCCAGCUGCCUAUGGUUGGCCCCCAGGGGCAGCCUGUCCAAGACUGCAAGCACAGACUUGGAUCAGCAAAGACUUCAAGAAAGAGGCAGCAUCUGAAACGAGCCUUGAAGGCAGAGAAGACUUUCAGAGAGCUGAGAGGAGGUCAUUCCAGGUGUGGGGGAUGCCUGGCUGCAUGCACGGAAGCAGGGGAGGAAAGAAGGCCCCUGUGCUGAUGGCCAUCCCCUUCCGCCCUAGCACCAUAGGACCAUGUGCCACAAGCAGGACCUGUCACAUGGUUCAUGCCCUCGACUCCUCUGGCAGCAGGCUGUCUGGUGAAGUCUGUGGUCCCUUUCUCAGUGCCAUGUUUCUAAGUGCAUUAAAAUAAAACAUGUAGGAUUCCAA